rnacentral:lncRNA from 1 species
UGUCCUUCUUCUUUAAUCGGUCGCACCAACUUGUUCCCGCUUUGGGAAGGGAACUUGGUUGGAAUUCCAAUUUCAAAGAAAACACAUGCGAAAGGCAAGACAUUGAGAAGGGCUUGUUCUUGAAUUAGAUGGAACAUUAGCGGUCUUAGGUGAUUUAUCAUUGCCCCCAGGAGAGGUUCGAAAGUAGGGCUAUUCAAAGCACAGUGAGGCAAAGCGAGUGACAGGUAUGCAAUCCCCAGUAAAGUAAGCCAAGUAACGACUAUCUACAACCUCUUCUUUCAUUUGUCCUGAAAACAAGCUAUUUGUUCUGAAAGAAAAGCAAGCUAAGACGCUUUUUUCGCGGCAAGAGCGGUGUUGUAGCAUCAACAGGAAAGUUAUUUGGCAGUUGCUUUAGCAGCUCCUUCUCUAAGACCGUCUUCAAUAGCAGCGCUUAUUCCAACAACACCAGCAAGAGCGGAUACUCACCUAAGAGCAGAUAUGCCGACAUCUUUCCACGUUCAAGCAGCUAAUCAGUAAACGACUUCUCCGUCACUUGUUCUUAUUCUUAAACCCUUCGUGCCCCAUAGCUGUCGUAGUUAGAUAUCAAGGUUCUCCCUCUUAAUGAUAAUUACUUUCCUGGGGCGGUUGUGCA